rnacentral:rRNA from 1 species
GUGUCAGCCGCCGCGGUAAUACGUAGGGUGCGAGCGUUAAUCGGAAUUACUGGGCGUAAAGCGUGCGCAGGCGGUUGUGUAAGACAGGUGUGAAAUCCCCGGGCUUAACCUGGGAAUGGCGCUUGCGACUGCACGACUGGAGUACGGCAGAGGGGGGUGGAAUUCCACGUGUAGCAGUGAAAUGCGUAGAGAUGUGGAGGAACACCGAUGGCGAAGGCAGCCCCCUGGGCCAGUACUGACGCUCAUGCACGAAAGCGUGGGGAGCAAACAGGAUUAGAUACCCUGGUAGUCCACGCCCUAAACGAUGUCAACUAGUUGUUCGGAGGGGAGACUCUUUGAGUAACGCAGCUAACGCGUGAAGUUGACCGCCUGGGGAGUACGGCCGCAAGGUUAAAACUCAAAGAAAUUGGCGG